rnacentral:lncRNA from 1 species
GGAAACAUGUUCAUCUUUCUCUUCUUCAGGACUCGGUGAGUCAAAGAAAUCUGGGCUUGAAAGGGACGAAGAUGUGAAAGACUGGGAGGGUGGUCGCCUGCCAGUAGCUUUUGGUCUGGUUGUAGUUGGAUGAUUAAGCUUCUCAGCAAUUGGUACUACAGAGUCAAAACCUUCCAAGUCGAUGUCAUUGCUUCUGUCAGAGGAGUCUUUCUCCAGUGUGCUGGAUACCGAACUCCCCACUAGUUCCACUUUUGGACUAUCACUCCUUGCAUGAGUCGCAGGCACAACUGGUCUUUCUGGCCUUCUUGGAGGUAAGGUACCAGGUCUGCUCACAGGAUUUGCUUUGGGUGGCCGUGGUUUCUUCGGAGGUAUAGCAGGAACUGAAGGCUUCUGCAAGUCUAACUGUUUUUGCUCUCUCUCUGAUCUUUCUUUUUCUUCUGUUCGGUUAGGGAGACACUCUGGCCUUUCAGGAGGCACCUUUUUGACUUCUUGUUUUCGGUCUGUGGUUCCUAAUCCUUGUUUGACAACAGGAGCUGAUGGGGGUGGUGGUUUCUUCGGUCUCUCUUUUUCAAAAUCGGAAGGAAGAAGCUUGACAAAGUUAUCUGGAAACACUCCUCGUCUGCCGUUCAGUUCUCCUUCCCACCAACCCACAUCAAUACAGUCCUUACUGAUAAGUGUGACGACAUCACCUUCUCGGAUUGUGAGUUCAUCAUCAUUCUGUGCUUCAUAUGGAAAUAUCACUUUGCAAUACUCCUUGGUUUUUGUUCUGCUGUCCACUUCUGUUUUUGUUGACUCCUGACUUGCUGUGGCUGGAGGUACUUUCUUCCCAACACUCUUAUCUACUGGGAGAAAGUCAUUUUCAACUUCUAUUGACCUUGGCCGUAGCUUUAUAGGUUUGUCUUUGAAGAUAUCUCCAAAGCCAACACCCUUGACCUUUUUGGGUUGGAUUGUCGUGCCUCCAUUGGCUCCUUCUGAUUUUGUGCUGCCAGAGUCACCACCAUCACUCUCAGAGCCUGUAGUAUCUUUCAGACUUGGCUUUACUUGCUCUUCCUGUGCUAUUCCAGCAUCAUCAGAAUCAGACAGCUCCUUUAUGAAGUUGGAAGGAAACAUGCCCGUCUUUCCAUUAAGGAUACCUUCCCACCAGCCCUCUUCUACCUCUCCCACAACUUCAAUGAUGUCACCAACUUUUAAUUCCAGUUCAUCCUCAUUUUGAGGCAAAUAACUGAAAGCCACCUGACAUCUUCUUCGUCUGUUCCUCUCUCCUUUUCUGUUGGUUCUAAUAAUUGUCUCAGACAACAGCAAAGAGCUUCCAUUGCAAAUUUCAUUUAUAGGCUUCUCUGGUGGUUUGUUGGCAAUAUUUUCCUUCUUCAUGUCCUUCUUUAUUUCUCUUACAAAGUUGUCAGGGAACAAACCUCUUCUGCCUUUGAGCUGUCCUUCCCACCACCCUCCAUCAUCUUUCUUGAUAUUGGUGAUUAUGUCACCUACAGUGAUUGUCAGCUCAUCAUCAUGUUGAGCUUUGUAGUCGAACUCCACAAUCGCCUCCACCAUCGAUGUCGAGCGCGGCUCUGCCGGGCGCGGGCUGAAAGUUUGAGGCGGCUGUGCCCGAGGCUGCUGACGGGGCUGCUCCCUCCUCCCGCGGCCGCCGCUCUCAGUCAGCAGCCAGGCUGCACGCCGCGUCCUGCGGGAGGCACCUCGCCUCGCCUCGGCAUAUGUGUGCGCGUGGAUGCGGAAAGGAAAAAAAUAAAACGAGGCGAGGGCUCAGCCUUCGGCUCCCCCCAGCAGUCCUCGCUGCCGGGCGGAGCGCGGCCGAGCCCGGGCACCGGGAGGCGGCUGCUGCCGAGCCGCGCCGAUGGGCGUCUUCCCCGCGGGCCGGGGCGCGGAGCGGCGCUUCCCAACGCGGGCGCUGCCGCUGCUGCUGCCGCUGCUGCUGCCGGAGCGAGCGGCGCCGCUCGGCUCAGCGUGGCGCUGCGGGAAGUGUCGCGAGACUGCGCCACAGCCGCUGCGCCGCCGGGAGAGCGAGCGGGAGGGAGG